GGGACAGGAAGUAAGGAAUCAAC
rnacentral:piRNA from 1 species